rnacentral:tRNA from 1 species
GGGGAUGUGGCUCAGGGGUUGAGUUCUUAUCUUGCAUGCAUGGGGUACUGGGUUCGAUCCUCAGCACCACA